rnacentral:tRNA from 1 species
AAUGAUAUGCCUGAAAAAGGAUUAUUUUGAUAGGAUAAAUUAUACAUUAUUUAAAUUUAAUGUUUUCAUUA